rnacentral:rRNA from 1 species
AUUGAACGCUGGCGGCAGGCCUAACACAUGCAAGUCGAACGAGUGGCGGACGGGUGAGUAAUGUCUGGGAAACUGCCUGCUGGAGGGGGAUAACUACUGGAAACGGUAGCUAAUACCGCAUACCAUCAGAUGUGCCCAGAUGGGAUUAGCUAGUUGGUGGGGUAACGGCUCACCAAGGCGACGAUCCCUAGCUGGUCUGAGAGGAUGACCAGCCACACUGGAACUGAGACACGGUCCAGACUCCUACGGGAGGCAGCAGUGGGGAAUAUUGGACAAUGGGCGAAAGCCUGAUGCAGCCAUGCCGCGUGUGUGAAGAAGGUCUUCGGGUUGUAAAGUACUUUCAGUGGGGAGGCGUUACCCGCAGAAGAAGCACCGGCUAACUCCGUGCCAGCCGCCGCGGUAAUAC